UAGGGAAUCUUCCACAAUGGACGCAAGUCUGAUGGAGCAACGCCGCGUGAGUGAAGAAGGGUUUCGGCUCGUAAAACUCUGUUGUUAGAGAAGAACAUGCAGGAGAGUAACUGUUCUUGUAUUGACGGUAUCUAACCAGAAAGCCACGGCUAACUACGUGCCAG
rnacentral:rRNA from 1 species